rnacentral:lncRNA from 1 species
UCUUGUUCGUUCUUCGACUGCGGACAGGAAUCGAUCUUCGUGAUCAGGCUGAUCUCGCACCGGCGAGGUUGGUAACCAUCGGGAGUUGGUUCAGCGAUUGCAUUGGCGCUUCGGGUUCGCUUGUCGUAGUCGGAUCGUGAGGGUCUACUUCCACCAAGUCGAAUUUAUCUCCACUCACCGAAAGAUCGGGCACUCCGACUCUAUCAAGUGGUAUCAGCUUUCCAGGUUGAUCGGUGAGUUUUACCGAGUAUUUUUCCCUUCCUACAGUCCACAA